UGAAAUUAAAACAGAAAUAAAUUAAUAAAAAGGAAAUAAAGGAUGAGUUAUUCAUUAACCUAGCACAUUUAAACAUAAUGUGCAUCCACACACUGUACUACUAUUAGAGUAAUUUCUCUCGGAGGCAAUAGGCACUAGAAGCAGAAAAGUAAAAGAAAACAGAAGAAGGAUGAAACGGAAGGAGUAACCUUUCAGAAGAGACAUCAGCACCAAGUUACUUGAAUUUACUGUUGAUUGCAGCAUUGGACCAAAAACAAAGGAAGGGCAAACUGUUAUGAUUCUCGGUUCACUUUUCUUUGCAUACUCCAAAGCUUCAGUUUCUGCCAUUGUCUUGGCAAGACAAUAGUUGCCAAAGUUUGUCUGUAAUGUGUUCAUUAGACCAUAACGAGAUAAACCAGUUGAAAAAUGAAAUUGAAGAUCAAUGUAAUUCGAAUGUCAAAUAAAUAAACUUCAGGAGAACUAGCAUUGUUAUUAUACCUUAGCUCUCUUGCAAUACUCAGGGUCAGACCGACACUCUUCAUCCAUAGGUUGAUCCUUGGGCCAUUUCGGGUUGUAUACAACAGCACCAGCAGAUGACACGACCACAACCCUCUUUACUUUUGCCUUGAUACAUGCAUCUAGUACAUUCCGUGUGCCCCUCAGAGCAGGUUCGAUAAAUUCUCCCUGCAUAAAAAUUAGAUAUUUCACCCAUUAUUCAGUUAAGUUUGUUGGAAUUAAUUUGAAAACUAGAUAGGGUAUUGGCUAAAACUCGGUCUAGAUUUUGGCCUUGUAAACUCAAGGUACAGUGAUGGAUACUAAAACAGCCAAAUCAUUUAGGAUACUUAUGAUCGAUAGAGUAAAAGUCUUGCAUAGCAACUUAUAUGCAUUCACUAUUCAAUUGUGAGAAGACAUAUAGACAUGUUCAACACUGCCUAUUUAUCAUGCUAUAUGUUAUGUUUUCGCUUCAUUCGAUCAUGCAUAAGUUGAACCUGCAUCUAUGUAUCUAGAGGACAUAGGCAUCUAUGCAUAAUGUUAAAGUCUGCAGGGUCGAAAUGAACAAAAUCUUGCCUCAUCAUGGAAAACGGAAUUUUCGUCGGAAGGAACAGAGGAGGCAACAUGGAAAACACCAGAACACCCAGAAAUGGCAGCACAAAGACCUUCAAAGUCGAACAAGUCUGCCUUGAACAGUUGCAAAUUCUCAGAAGCGUUUACCAACUUCUUCAAAUGACCAUUCUUCUCAUUACCUGCAACAAGUUUUGAUGAGAAUCAAGUGCGAUCGUAUAUCAUUACAUAUCGAAAACGAGACAGAAAAGAAGACGGAAAAUAAUUACAUGGGUCUCUAGCAGUGCCAUGAACUUUGUAGCCCUCAGAGAGAAGCAACUUGGUGACCCAAGAUGCCACAAAGCCUCCAGCUCCAGUUACACACACCGUUUCUUUCUCUCCCAUUGUUAGCAAACAUGAACAAGAUCUGUUCUGAAAGUUUGGAACUUGUUGAAGACUUUAGGCAGUGGAAGACUGGAAGGCGACAAUAGAUGACAUGUUUGUUUUGUCAGGUGAAUUGUUCAAGGAGGGAAUGCGUGACAAGUCUCAGGCAUGCACAAAGCCUUUUCAACACUUGGGACGUUUCUUCUCGUGCCCUUAUUAUUCAGGUGAAUUAUUCAUGUUUUCCGAUGAUGCCUUUAUUAUUCAUUAAAUAUUUCUAUUUAAGAAGAAUUAAAAUAGAUAUUUGUCUAAGAGAAAAAUUCAUUAUAUAUUAUGAUUUCUAAUCUGCUGUUGUUUUUUUUAAAUGAAAUAGACGAUUCUGUUCAGAGUUAGGGUUUGCUUGGUGUGUCGUUGAUUCAAAUUUUGAUCUUCAUGAUUUUUGCUAGAAAACAAGGUCCUAUUCUUGGUUCUACACUUCUACUUCAUGUUUCUGCUGAUUACAAUGUCUGUUAGGAUUUGUGAUGCUUGUCAUCAUUUGAUAUAGAUAUGAAGCCAGAACGCCGACUCCUGGAAAUAUAUUUUUCUGUCACUGUUCUCUCUAGUCAUUGCAGUUAGGCUCAAGAAAUGGUUAGAGCUCUGGUUUAUUGAAUUCGAAAAUCAGUUCUAAGUUAAGGUUAUCGUUGGUGAUAUGGAUAGCAAUGAAACAUUUGUAAUGUAGAAGAGAAGUGCAAAUGGCAUAACCAUCAAAGGGGAAAUCAUCUCCAAAGAAAAAGAAAAUCUCAUUUCUAGGUAAUCUGUUGGUAUACGAGUUAUUGUAGCGGUUAGGCAUACAAAGAUUGAAUGGUGACGGUGGAAUAUUUUCUGCAGUUUGGAGGAGGAAUCAGAUAUGAUACAUCAAAUAGUUUCUGGAGGUUUUGAUGAAGUAAACAAAUGUCUCUAAUAUAUUAAAGUAAUUAAACAAAUGAACUAGGCAUUCUUCAAAGCAGAAGUUUGCUAGACAAGUUGCUGUAUCACUACACAAAUCGUUUGUUCCAAUUGAAUAGAAUGUGCCUGAAGCUUCUCUCCUUUGAAGUCAGGCACUCAAAGCUAUCUAGAUUACAAUUCAGUUUCAAAUGAAAACAUUAGCACUACUAUGCACAAACUCAAUGAACUUACAAAUAUGAUGGACCCACCGAGGGACCAAUAAAACACCAGAGACUAUAGACCUAAAUGCUGGCACAAGUCUAUAAAAGAAUCAUAUGUUGACUCUUGCGUGUUUUU
rnacentral:lncRNA from 1 species